GACGAACGCUGGGCGGCGUGCUUAACACAUGCAAGUCGAACGGAGUUACGUAUGAAGUAUUUCGGUACGGACUACAUAACUUAGUGGCGAACGGGUGAGUAACACGUGGGCAACCUGCCCUUAACCGGGGGAUAACAUUGUGAAAACAGUGCUAAUACCGCAUAACAGAGUAUCGGGCAUCCGAUAUUUUAAAAGGAGCAAUCCGGUUUAGGAUGGGCCCGCGUCCAAUUAGCUAGUUGGUGAGGUAACGGCUCACCAAGGCUACGAUUGGUAGCCGAACUGAGAGGUUGAUCGGCCACAUUGGGACUGAGACACGGCCCAGACUCCUACGGGAGGCAGCAGUGGGGAAUAUUGGGCAAUGGGCGAAAGCCUGACCCAGCGACGCCGCGUGAAGGAUGAAGGUCUUCGGAUUGUAAACUUCUUUGAUCAGGGAAGAAAGAAAUGACGGUACCUGAAGAACAAGCCACGGCUAACUACGUG
rnacentral:rRNA from 1 species